CCUACGGGAGGCAGCAGUGAGGAAUAUUGGUCAAUGGCCGGAAGGCUGAACCAGCCAUGCCGCGUGACGGUCAGUGCCCUAUGGGCGUUAAACUUCUUUUGUGCGGGAGCAAUAAUGGUCACGUGUGGCCAGACGAGAGUACCGUACGAAUAAGCAUCGGCUAACUCCAUGCCAGCAUCCGCGGUAAUACGGGGGAUGCAAGCGUUAUCCGGAUUUAUUGGGUUUUAAGGGUGCAGAGGUUGGGAGGUAAGUCAGCGGUGAAAUGCCCCCGCGCGAGGGGGUGAAGGGCCAUUGAUACUGCCUUGCUGGAAUGCGGAUGCCGUGGGAGGAAUGUGUGGUGUAGCGGUGAAAUGCAUAGAUAUCACACAGAACACCGAUUGCGAAGGCAUCUCACGAAUCCGCGAUUGACGCUGAUGCACGAAAGCGUGGGUAUCAAACAGGAUUAGAUACCCGUGUAGUC
rnacentral:rRNA from 1 species